rnacentral:rRNA from 1 species
UACGUAGGGGGCUAGCGUUGUCCGGAAUCAUUGGGCGUAAAGCGCGUGUAGGCGGCCCGGUAAGUCCGCUGUGAAAGUCGGGGGCUCAACCCUCGAAUGCCGGUGGAUACUGUCGGGCUAGAGUACGGAAGAGGCGAGUGGAAUUCCUGGUGUAGCGGUGGAAUGCGCAGAUAUCAGGAGGAACACCUAUAGCGAAGGCAGCUUGCUGGGACGUUACUGACGCUAAGGCGCGAAAGCGUGGGGAGCGAACAGG